CUGUGAAGUUACAAUGUUGAUUGUUCUCAACUAAUGUCUUGAUCUGAUCACUAUCAAUUUCAACUGGUCUGCCUAACAGUGGAGCAUCGUCUAGCUAGAAAUCACCAGCACAAAACUUCACAAACCACUUUUGACACGUUUUAUCAGUCACAGCACUUUCUCCAAACACUGCACAAAUCUAAUUUUGUGUGUUUCACUUGCAUUUUUACCUUUCUUGCA